rnacentral:rRNA from 1 species
UGAUAGAGUUGGUCAUGCCUCAGGUAUGUACUGAUCUCACUGAUUCCUCCUUCCUGACGAACCGUAAUGCCAUUAAUUUGGUGUUGCGGGGAGACUGGACUGUUACUUUGAAAAAAUUAGAGUGUUUAAAGCAGGCUAACGCUUGAAUACAUUAGCAUGGAAUAAUGAAAUAGGACGUUCGAUCCUAUUUUGUUGGUUUCUAGGAUUGACGUAAUGAUUAAUAGGGAUAGUUGGGG